UAGCAGGGACUUUAUCUUCUUUCCAUCUCUGGGAACGGCCAGAGUCCUAACCCAGUAUGUUUGUACUCUUAAAGUGACCAUAGAACAUUGGUCCUGAAAGACCUACAUUGGCUCCCAGUAUGUUUCUGAGCACAAUUCAAAGUGUUGGUGCUGAUCUUUAAAGCCCUAAACGGCCUCGGCCCAGUAUCCCUGAAGGAGUGUCUCCACCCCCAUCGUUCAGCCCGGACACUGAGGUCCAGCUCUGAGGGCCUUCUGGCGGUUCCCUCCCUGCGAGAAGCCAAGUUACAUUCUCAGUAGUGGCACCCGCCCUGUGGAACGCCCUCCCUUCAGAUGUCAAGGAAAUAAACAACUACCUGACUUUUGGAAGACAUCUGAAGGCAGCCCUGUUUAGGGAAGUUUUUAAUGUUUGAUGUUUUACCGUGUUUUUAAUAUUCUGUUGGGAGCCGCCCAGAGUGGCUGGGGAAGCCCAGCCAGGUGGGCGGGGUAUAAAUAAUAUUUUUUUUAAAUUAAAUGUUCUAUAGGAUUGUGAGAAUGUCUCUUAAAUGAAUACUCGCGGCCUUUUCUGAUCCAGGGCUCUUUCAAUCCCAACCAGUUUGAAUGCGUGUUGGGUUUUUUAAAAAAAACAAAUGUAUAUGUCCAUUUUCA